rnacentral:miRNA from 1 species
UAUAGAACUGAGCAACAGGU